rnacentral:rRNA from 1 species
ACCUACGGGGCGCAGCAGUGAGGAAUAUUGGUCAAUGGGCGGGAGCCUGAACCAGCCAAGUCGCGUGAGGGAAGACGGUCCUAUGGAUUGUAAACCUCUUUUGUCGGGGAGCAAAGAGAUCACGUGUGGUCAAAAGCGAGAGUACCCGAAGAAAAAGCAUCGGCUAACUCCGUGCCAGCAGCCGCGGUAAUACGGAGGAUGCGAGCGUUAUCCGGAUUUAUUGGGUUUAAAGGGUGCGUAGGCGGAUUUUUAAGUCAGCGGUAAAAUGUCCGGGCUCAACCCGGGCCGGCCGUUGAAACUGGGGA